rnacentral:rRNA from 1 species
UGAGGAAUAUUGGUCAAUGGACGAGAGUCUGAACCAGCCAAGUAGCGCGCAGGAUGACGGCCCUAUGGGUUGUAAACUGCUUUUGUUUGGGAAUAAUCGACAUUACGUGUAAUGUUUUGCAUGUACCAUUCGAAUAAGGACCGGCUAAUUCCGUGCCAGCAGCCGCGGUAAUACGGAAGGUCCAGGCGUUAUCCGGAUUUAUUGGGUUUAAAGGGAGUGUAGGCGGUUGGUUAAGCGUGUUGUGAAAUGUAGAUGCUCAACAUCUGACUUGCAGCGCGAACUGGCUGACUUGAGUACACACAACGUAGGCGGAAUUCAUGGUGUAGCGGUGAAAUGCUUAGAUAUCAUGAAGAACUCCGAUUGCGAAGGCAGCUUACGGGAGUGUUACUGACGCUUAAGCUCGAAGGUGCGGGUAUCGAACAGG